rnacentral:rRNA from 1 species
UACGUAGGGUGCAGGCGUUAAUCGGAAUUACUGGGCGUAAAGCGUGCGCAGGCGGUUUGCUAAGACAGGUGUGAAAUCCCCGGGCUUAACCUGGGAACUGCGCUUGUAACUGGCAAGCUAGAGUGUGGCAGAGGGGGGUGGGAAUUCCACGUGUAGCAGUGAAAUGCGUAGAGAUGUGGAGGAACACCGAUGGCGAAGGCAGCCCCCUGGGCUAACACUGACGCUCAUGCACGAAGCGUGGG